rnacentral:rRNA from 1 species
GACGAACGCUGGCGGCGUGCUUAACACAUGCAAGUCGAACGGAAAGGCCCUGCUUUUGUGGGGUGCUCGAGUGGCGAACGGGUGAGUAACACGUGAGUAACCUGCCCUUGACUUUGGGAUAACUUCAGGAAACUGGGGCUAAUACCGGAUAGGAGCUCCUGCUGCAUGGUGGGGGUUGGAAAGUUUCGGCGGUUGGGGAUGGACUCGCGGCUUAUCAGCUUGUUGGUGGGGUAGUGGCUUACCAAGGCUUUGACGGGUAGCCGGCCUGAGAGGGUGACCGGCCACAUUGGGACUGAGAUACGGCCCAGACUCCUACGGGAGGCAGCAGUGGGGAAUAUUGCACAAUGGGCGGAAGCCUGAUGCAGCAACGCCGCGUGCGGGAUGACGGCCUUCGGGUUGUAAACCGCUUUCGCCUGUGACGAAGCGUGAGUGACGGUAAUGGGUAAAGAAGCACCGGCUAACAACGUG